UGCCCAAGAGAUCGGGAUAACACCUGGAAACAGAUGCUAAUACCGGAUAACAACAGAUGAUGCCUAUCAACUGUUUAAAAGAUGGUUCUGCUAUCACUCUUGGAUGGACCUGCGGUGCAUUAGCUAGUUGGUAGGGUAACGGCCUGCCAAGGCGAUGAUGCAUAGCCGAGUUGAGAGACUGAUCGGCCACAUUGGGACUGAGACACGGCCCAAACUCCUACGGAGGCAGCAGCC
rnacentral:rRNA from 1 species